rnacentral:tRNA from 1 species
CAGGGAGACAACAAAAUGUUUAAUAUUAUUAUUUUGUCACCUUAGGUCGAUCGGUAUCUCACAUUCUUAAUUAGUUAAGAAUUUCAUUUCCUAAGUUUUUCUAGGUCACACCCAUUAUUUUUCCUGGGCCAUUAGCUCAGGUGGUUAGAGCGCACCCCUGAUAAGGGUGAGGUCCCUGGUUCAAGUCCAGGAUGGCCCAUAUCUCUAUGUUGGGGGUAUAGCUCAGUUGGUAGAGCGCCUGCUUUGCAAGCAGGAUGUCAGCGGUUCGAGUCCGCUUACCUCCACUGAUUACCACCUCUUCCAUAACCGGUAGAAAGGAAAUCUUUUGAGUUGUGAUCAUUAUUCUGAACGAAUCUAGCUUCCUAAUGAAAUCAUUAAGAUGCUGGACUCAUUGAAUCAAUUUCAUUGUUUUCAGAGAACCUUGACAACUGCAUAGAUUAUUUUUAAAGACAAUAAGCAUCUUUAAUGAUGCAGAUUUAUUAUUUGUGCGAAUGCAUUAAUAACAAUUCUAUUAAGCUGAUGCUUCAAUUUUUGAAGUUAUU